rnacentral:rRNA from 1 species
GUUUGAUCCUGGCUCAGGAUGAACGCUGGCGGCGUGCCUAACACAUGCAAGUUGAGCGAUUUACUUCGGUAAAGAGCGGCGGACGGGUGAGUAACGCGUGGGGAACCUACCCUGUACACACGGAUAACAUACCGAAAGGUAUGCUAAUACGGGAUAAUAUAUUUGAGAGGCAUCUCUUAAAUAUCAAAGGUGAGCCAGUACAGGAUGGACCCGCGUCUGAUUAGCUAGUUGGUAAGGUAACGGCUUACCAAGGCGACGAUCAGUAGCCGACCUGAG